rnacentral:rRNA from 1 species
UACGAAGGGGGCUAGCGUUGCUCGGAAUCACUGGGCGUAAAGGGCGCGUAGGCGGCCGAUUAAGUCGGGGGUGAAAGCCUGUGGCUCAACCACAGAAUUGCCUCGAUACUGGUUGGCUUGAGACCGGAAGAGGACAGCGGAACUGCGAGUGUAGAGGUGAAAUUCGUAGAUAUUCGCAAGAACACCAGUGGCGAAGGCGGACUCACUGGCCCGAUACUGACGCUGAGGUGCGAAAGCGUGGGGAGCAAACAGG